rnacentral:rRNA from 1 species
AUGCAUUUUGUGCGGCGAAUCCAGGAGUCUGAGGUCAAGGAGGCUUUAAAAAGGAUGAAAGGAGGCAAGGCGAUGGGCCCUGAUUAUAUCCCCAUUAAGGUGUGGAAAGGCCUCGGGGACAUAGCGAUAGUAUGGCUAACCAAGCUUUUCAACCUCAUUUUUUGGGCAAACAAGAUGCCCGAAGAAUGGAGACGGAGUAUAUUGGUACCAAUCUUCAAGAACAAGGGGGAUGUUCAGUGGUGUACUAAUUACCGUGGAAUUAAGCUGACGAGCCAUACAAUGAAGCUAUGGGAGAGAGUCAUUGAGCACCGCUUUAAGAAGAAUGACAAGCGUGACCAAAAAUCAGUUUGGUUUCAUGCCUGGGAGGUUGGUGUUCAUUGA